GCUGGAUCAGCUUCAGCACUUCCUGACCGAGGCUCGGGCCACACCAUCAAUACUCCAGUCCAGGAGGUCAUGAGCAAGCUAUCAAAGAUCCUCUGCUUCAGCAUCCCUUCUUUGCCCUCAUCCAUGUGUCUUCUGGGUGAUCUGUCUACACUUAAAGUCACACAGCAGUUCACACCAGCCAAGAAGACUAUAUUACUUCACUGGAAGAACAGAAGCCAUUUAUCCACCAAACACUGGCUUUAUUUGCUAACUGAACUUUCCAGUUUAGAAAACCUCACAGCUGUCUCCCAGGACGAAAUUAAAAAUUUUGAAGACACAAAAUUAUCUGAUUUUUUUCAGUAUGUUAUGAGCCCCUCUUGAUAGUGUUUGUACUUUGAGUUUUACUUUGUCAGUUUUUUUUUGUUUUGUACUAUCUUUGUAAUUUUUUGUUAUGUUUGUUGUAUGUUAUCUUUGUCUUGAUGUUGUUUUCACAAAGUGUUAAGUGAAGAGAAAAAUAAAUAAAUAUAAUAUAUAAGUAUUAUAAAUAAAUCCUUAUCAAAUAUGUUUUGCCGAUUCAUAGUCUAUUUGCCUUAAUGUGCAUAUAUUGAAGCUUUCUAGCACUUGCAUUUCAGACUUUAACUAAAAAAUUUGAAUAAGAAAACAUGGCGCACACUAUUUCCUGUUGAUUUAAUAUAAAUGCUCUGAUGCCAACAAUUGACGUAGAUUGUGUAAUAAAAUUAAAAAAUACUUCAACAA